UGGAAAUGCAGCUGGAAGCCAAGAAUGAAGUUUCAACUAGUUUUGAAUAAUUGAGAAGUAAUUUCCAUCAGCCCAACCCUCCUGCAGAUAACAUUUCCAAACUCUGGACAAAAUAUACAUGGUAUGAACCUGAAAACACUGGAAAGCGAACAAAAGCCAGCAGAAACUGAGCAGCAGUUCAUACCAGGAGAGCGAAGGGCACUGGAUGAGCUACCUACUUUUUAAGGCUUUUUCCUGAGGGCAGACCCCAACAGGCAGAGACUGGAUGCUAAAACUCAGAAAAACUUUUUAAUCUUGAUGGUUUCAGAACUAGAGGACACAGACUGGUGUUACCACAGGAGUAAGAAGGGAAAGAGGAAAUGUGGAAAUGAGAGAGCCACAGAGAAUGCUACGUUCUGCAUAAAAACAUUGUCUUAAUCUCUGGUUGAGCCUGAAAUAUGCCUAUGCAAGACUGAACCUAAGUUAACAGAUUGGAAAUUGAAACUGCUGCCUACUACUAGAAGAACAGAAUUUAGAGUCUGAGUUUAAACAAGUUUACUGCCUAUUAAAAUUAAAAAUCAAUACUAACAGAGGUUCAUAACAGAAUCCAGAUUCACUAAUAUGUCAUUCAUAAUAUUCUAGAUUCAAUACAAAUUUCUAGACAUAUGAAGAAACAGGAAACUGUUACCUACACUUGAAAGAAAAGCAGACUGACUCUGAGAUGACUCAAAUGUUAGAAUUAGUAGACAAAAAUUUCAAGCUACUAUUAUAACCAUGCUCAGGGAUAUAAGGAAAAAUAAUGGUCUCUGCCAGGCACAGUGGCUCAGACCUGUAAUCCCAGCACUUUGGGAGGCCGAGGCAGGCGGAUCACUUGAGGUCAGGAAUUCGAGAUCAGCCUGGGCAACAUAAUGAAACCCCAUCUCUACCAAAAAUUACAAAAUUAGCCUGGUGUGGUGGCACAUGAGUGUAAUCUCAGCUACUCGGGAGGCUGAGGCAGGAGAAUCCCUUGAACCUGGGAGGUGGAGGUGGUUGCAGUGAGCCAGAGAUCAUGCCAGUGCACUUAAGCCUGGGUGACAGAGUGAGAUGCUGCCACCAAAAAAAAAAAAAAAAAGAAAGAAAGGAAAUUAUCUUAAUAAACAAUCUCACAAAAGAAAAAUGAAUUAUGAAAAACUGGAAAUUCUAGAGGAGAAAAUUACAAUAUUGUAAAUAAAAUAUUGUUGGAUGAACUUAACAGCAGUUGGGAGAUGACAGAAGGAGCAGCCAGUGAAAACUUGAAGACAGAGCAAAAGAAAUAAUACACCCUGAAGAAAAGAGAGCAGAAAAGACUAAACAUAAUUAAAUACAACCUUUGUGACUUGUGGGACCACAUAAAAAAGAUAAGCAAAUAUGGCUAGGCAUGGUGGCUCAUGCCUGUAAUCCCAGCACUUUGAGAGACCAAGGUAGGAAGGUUGCUUGAGGCUAGGAAGUCAAGACCAAGACCAGCCUGACCAACAUAGCGAGACUCCUUUGCUACAAUUUUUUUUUUUUUUGUUAGCCAGAUGUGUUGGUAUGCACCUGCAGUCCCAACUUGGGAGGCUGAGACGGGAGGAUUGCUUGAAUCUGGGAGGUCAAGGCUGCAAUGAGCCAUGAUUGUGCCAAACUGGAAUCCCAGGAAAAAGGGACUGAUAGCUUGGAAGGGAAAAAAAUCUUUGAAGAAAUAAAUUUACAGAUUCAAAAAUCUUGCAUUUAGCCUGAGAAAAAUGGCAGAUUUCAUGGCAGAACAUUAUAAAUUUUCUCUGACAUCUCAUUAGAACUAAUAGGUGCCAGAAGAGAAUGGAACUAUAUCUUGAAAGUGCUAAAAGUAAAAUGAGAAAGGAGAGGGAAGAGGGGAAGGGGAGGGAAGGGGAGAGAAAGAAAGAGAGAAAGAGAGAAAGAGGGAGAAAGAGAGAAAGAAAGAGAAAGAAAGAAAGGAAGAAAGAAAGAGAAAAAGAAAGGAAAAAGAGAGAGAAAGGAAGGAAGGAAGGGAGAGAGAAAGGAAGGAAGGAAGGGAGAGAGAAAGAAAGGAAGAAAGAGAAAAAAAGGGGAAAGAAAGAAAAAAAGAAAAAUUAAACUUUUAAAUUUAAAAUUCUGUAUCCCGUAAAAUCAUCCUUUAAGAAUUAAGAUGAAACAGAGAUAUUUUCGGAUAAAAUAAAACUAGAGAAUUCAUCACCAGCAGACAAUACCAUAAGAAAUUCAAAAGUUCUCCAGGCUGAAGAUAAAUCACACCAGAUUGAAACAUGUUUCUUCUGUAAGAAAUGAAGAAUAUCAGAAAUGAUAAAUGUGUAGGUAAAUAUUUUUUAAAACAAUUUUUUUCUUAAUUUUCUUAAAAGACAUAUGGCUAUGUAAAGCAAAUGUUGUAAGAUUGAAUUGUGGGGCUUAUAACAUUUCUAUACAUAAAAAAUAACAACUAUAGCAUAAAGACCAGUGUUGGGAGGUAAAUGAACUUAUAUGAUUGCAAGUUUUGUUCAUUUAACAUUAAGUGGCACACCAAUAACUUUAAGGAGAUUGAAACAUUAAAAAUGUAUGUUGAAAUUCCCUAUAGCUACCACUUGAAUAACAACAACAAGGAGAGCAACAAUAAUAACACAAAAGGGACAGCUGAAAAGGUAAUAGAAAAAUUAAAAUGAAACUCUAAAAAAUAUUAAACUAACUCAAAAGCAGGAAAGGAAAAACAGA
rnacentral:lncRNA from 10 species